CGGGGGUCGAACCUCGGUGCCGCAGCUAACGCAUUAAGCAUUCCGCCUGGGGAGUACGGUCGCAAGACUGAAACUCAAAGGAAUUGACGGGGACCCGCACAAGCAGCGGAGCAUGUGGUUUAAUUCGAAGCAACGCGAAGAACCUUACCAGGACUUGACAUCCUCUGCAUUACCCUUAAUCGGGGAAAUCCCUUCGGGGACAGAGAGACAGGUGGUGCAUGGUUGUCGUCAGCUCGUGUCGUGAGAUGUUGGGUUAAGUCCCGCAAUGAGCGCAACCCUUAUCUUUAGUUGCCAGCACCUUGGGUGGGCACUCUAGAGAGACUGCCGGUGAUAAACCGGAGGAAGGUGGGGAUGACGUCAAAUCAUCAUGCCCCUUAUGUUCUGGGCUACACACGUGCUACAAUGGCUGGUACAACGGGCUGCGAAAGAGUAAUCUGGAGCUAAUCCAUAAAGCCAGUCCCAGUUCGGAUUGUGGGCUGCAACUCGCCCACAUGAAGUUGGAGUUGCUAGUAAUCGUGAAUCAGAAUGUCGCGGUGAAUGCGUUCCCGGGUCUUGUACACACCGCCCGUCACACCAUGGAAGUUGGGGGCGCCCGAAGUCAGAUAUCCAACCGCAAGGAGGAAUCUGCCGAAGGUGAAAUCAAUGACUAGGGUGAAGUCGUAACAAGGUAGCCG
rnacentral:rRNA from 1 species